AAUCUUCCACAAUGGACGAAAGUCUGAUGGAGCAACGCCGCGAGAGUUAAUAAGGAUUUCGGUUCGUAAAACUCUGUUGCGAGGGAAGAACAAGUACGAAGUAAAUACUCGUACCUUGACGGUACCUCGUUAGAAAGCCACGGCUAACUACGCGCCAGCAGCCGCGGUAAUACGUAGGUGGCAAGCGUUGUCCGGAAUUAUUGGGCGUAAAGCGCGCGCAGGCGGUUUCUUAAGUCUGAUGUGAAAGCCCACGGCUCAACCGUGGAGGGUCAUUGGAAACUGGGAAGCUUGAGUGCAGAAGAGGAGAGUGGAAUUCCAUGUGUAGCGGUGAAAUGCGUAGAGAUAUGGAGGAACACCAGUGGCGAAGGCGACUCUCUGGUCUGCAACUGACGCUGAGGCGCGAAAGCGUGGGGAGCGAACA
rnacentral:rRNA from 1 species